rnacentral:pre_miRNA from 1 species
AAGAUACUCCCUCCGUCUCAAAAUUCUUGUCUUAAAUUUGUCUAGAUAUGAAUGUAUCUAGUCACGUUUAGUAUUUAGAUACAUCUAUUUCUAGACAAACUUAAGACAAGAAUUUUGGGACGGAGGGAGUAUUUC